UAUCUCUCGUUCCCGAAUGAACAGUCCCAGCAGCACUACUUUGACCAGAACGUUUACCUUUUUGAGGAGUAUUUGCUUGCUUCUCCCCUUGUUCUCUAUCUUCUUUUAAUAAUUGAGGACAGUCCCGAAUAAAAUGAUCAGUUCCACCACAUUUAUAGCAAGCUCCGGCUCUUCCCCAACACUCACCAAUAUGAAAUCUACCACAAUUUUUACAUCUAAGUCUCGGAAUAUUUUGCACACUACUAACACUAGCUGCUGGUUUCUUAGUUACUC
rnacentral:lncRNA from 1 species